GUGAAAACUAAGGAUCCAUGAAGCUAAGGAGCCCGUUGAAGGUGAAUGUUGGCAGGACCUGAGACUUGCUUCUAACCAGCGGAAUAUAGCAGAAGAGAUGUGAUGCUUCCUUUGUGAUUGUGUUACAUAAGGUUGUAACUUUCAUAUUGCUGGGUGCUUCUCUCCCUCACUGGCACUGGAGAAAUCAGCUACCAUAUUUCAGAGGCCCACAUGGCAAGGAAGGGAGGGCCAUCUUUGGCCAACAGCCAGCAGGAAACUGAGGCCUUCAGUCCUUCACUUCACAAGGAAUUGAAUUCUGCCAAAAAUGUUGCAAGCUUGGAAGUGGAUCCUUCUCCGGUUGAGCCACAGAUAAGACCACAGCACUGGCUAACACUUUGAUUGCUGGUGGCAGUCUUGUGAGACCCUGAAGCAGAAAAUCUACACAAGCCAUACCCAGAUUCCUGAUCCACAGAAACCAUGAGAUAAUAAAUGUGGGCUGGUUUAAACCACUAAGUUCAUGGUAAUUUGUUACACACAUAUAGAUAAGUAAUGCAGGUGGGCUAGUAUGAUUAGAGAGGGAAGACCAGAGAACAGCUUGAUUCUCAGAGCCUUUUAUCACUGGCAGCUUUAUUAAUCAUUUUUCUUCUCUCUUCCUUCUCAACUCAUCUUAGAGU
rnacentral:lncRNA from 10 species